AUGCAUGUCGGUACGAUCAUGGAGUCGAAUGAUGCGACUUUCUUUGAAGAUAUCUUUCCCAUGAAGGAUAUGGCUACCUCAUCUAAUCAGGAGAUGCCUAGUUCAUCGAAUCAGGAACCAGUUACAAUUACCGAACCUGCCAUUUCGAUGGAACACUUUGAAAGUCCUGUGGAGGAGAACAAUGAAGUUCCUAUUAGGAGCAAGAGACAGAGGACUGCAAAGUCCUUUGGUGAUGAUUUUCUUGUGUAUCUCAUAGAUGACACUCCCAGUUCUAUUUCAGAGGCCUAUGCAUCUGAAGAUGCUGACUACUGGAAGGAAGCAGUUCGUAGCGAGAUGGAUUCCAUCUUGGCGAAUGAAACUUGGGAGAUAACUAAUCGUCCUUAUGGGUGCAAACCUAUAGGAUGCAAAUGGGUAUUCAAGAAGAAGCUUAGGCCUGAUGGUACUAUUGAAAAGUACAAGGCUCGGCUCGUGGCUAAGGGUUAUACCCAAAAGGAAGGUGAAGAUUUCUUUGAUACUUACUCACCUGUGGCUCGACUGACCACUAUUCGAGUUCUACUUUCACUAGCUGCCUCACAUGGUCUUCUCGUUCAGCAAAUGGAUGUUAAGACUGCUUUCCUAAAUGGAGAGUUGGAUGAGGAAAUUUAUAUGGAACAACCAGAUGGGUUUGUAGUAGAUGGUCAGGAAGGGAAAGUGUGCAAGUUGCUGAAGUCCUUGUAUGGACUCAAGCAAGCACCCAAACAGUGGCAUGAGAAGUUUGAAAGAACUUUAACAACUGCAGGCUUUGUUGUGAACGAGGAUGACAAAUGUGUGUACUAUCGCCAUGGUGGGGGCGAGGGAGUUAUGCUUUGCUUGUAUGUUGAUGACAUACUAAUUUUCGAAACAAAUCUGAAUGUUAUUAAGGAGGUCAAGGAUUUCCUAUCUCACUGUUUUGAGAUGAAGGAUUUAGGAGUGGCUGAUGUCAUUCUGAACAUCAAGUUGUUGAGAGAUGAUGAUGGUGGGAUUACAUUGCUUCAAUCUCACUAUGUGGAAAAGAUCUUGAGUCGCUUUGGCUAUAGUGACUGCAAGCCCUCUCCAACACCAUAUGAUGCUAGCGUGCUGCUUCGAAAGAAUCGAAGAAUUGCUAGAGAUCAAUUGAAGUAUUCUCAGAUUAUUGGCUCGCUUAUGUACUUAGCAAGUGCUACAAGACCUGACAUCUCUUUUGCUGUUAGCAAACUGAGUCGGUUUGUUUCAAAACUAGGAGAUGUGCAUUGGAAAGCUCUAGAGAGAGUUUUGCGUUAUUUGAAAGGCACUGCGAAUUAUGGAAUUCACUACACUGGGCAUCCAAAGGUGCUUGAAGGGUAUAGUGACUCAAACUGGAUCUCAGAUGCUGAUGAGAUAAAGGCCACAAGCGGUUAUGUAUUCACUCAUGGAGGUGGCGCUGUUUCU
rnacentral:rRNA from 1 species